UUUUACAUACCAUUAUUAUUAUUAUUAUUUUGUUUUGUUAUUAUUAUAGUUUUCCUAAUAUAUUAUAUAGAUUUGAUUCAAUCAUAGGGCUCACAAGAAAACAAGAAGUGUUGUAGAGAGAGGGAUAGGCCAACUUAAGAGAAGAUUCCAUGUUCUGCAUGGAGAAAUCCGCCUUUCUCCAGAAAAGGUGUGCUAAGUCAUCAUUGCUUGCUGCGUUUUGCACAACAUAUGCAAAUCUAGACAGAUACCUUGCCCAGCUGAUGAUAGUGGGAAUGAUGAUGAAAAUGUUAACAACCAACAAGAUGAUGGGCAUGCUACUGGUAAUCAUCAGAACGGUCAAACAGAAGGACUAAGGUACAGACAACUAUUUGCAGAAAAUCACUCUUGAUUGGUUAAUGUCCCUGCUGCUAUUGCCUGAGGUUACCAAUGGCAAUGAAGACUCCAGGACAGAUGUUACUUCUAGGGGAGUUGAUCCAAGAAUGUGGGGAUCUGUAUCUGGAGGUCCUUCAAUUACAUGGAUUCCCCUAUGAUGGGAAGAGGAAUACAUUAUUCUUUAUGAAUCUUGUAUUAAUCCAUUUGAGAAUGAUUAAAUGAUGACUUGGAUGAUUAG